rnacentral:rRNA from 1 species
UACGAAGGGGGCUAGCGUUGCUCGGAAUCACUGGGCGUAAAGGGCGCGUAGGCGGCCAUUCAAGUCGGGGGUGAAAGCCUGUGGCUCAACCACAGAAUUGCCUUCGAUACUGUUUGGCUUGAGACCGGAAGAGGUAAGUGGAACUGCGAGUGUAGAGGUGAAAUUCGUAGAUAUUCGCAAGAACACCAGUGGCGAAGGCGGCUCACUGGCCCGGUACUGACGCUGAGGCACGAAAGCGUGGGGAGCAAACAGG